UUGAAAUCCCCGUCACUCCUUCCGCUUCUGCCAGCGAAUUACAUCGCUUCAGGUUUUCUCCGGAGACCAACGAAUAUUUGUUCGGGAGCGACGACGACGAUGACGUCGAUGGCUACGUCGUCCAGUCUCUCAGAUUCCUCAGAGCCCGCAGAGGGCCGAGGCCGGCGUCCGCAGCGGCGGUGGAGGGGCUCCAGAUGGUAACUGCAGGAGAAGGUAUCUCGUGUCCCAUCUGCCUGGAUGACUUGGAGGUGAUGAGUCAGGUCUUGGCGAUGCCUUGCAGCCAUCCGUUUCACGAAGGGUGUCUGAGGGAAUGGCUGAAGCGGAGCAAUUCUUGCCCCGUCUGUAGAUUCUCACUUCCGGCAGCCGCCGAGUAGCGUCUGUCUGGCAAUCUAUUGCAAUUCAGGAAAGAAAUUUCUCAGUCCAUGUAUUCAUUGGUUUAAUUUGAUGAUGAUCAUCGCUAUUAGUUAUGUUCUGCUUUAGAUUACUUACUAUAUAACUGCAACUGCUCCUAGAUUGUUGACGCUCCUCUUGUUUUUUAAAAGGUAAUUAUCAUGAUUUUGAAAUGUAUGCAGGAGGAAGUUGGUGAGCUCACUGCAUAAACAUUAUGUGGAUGCUUAUGUAGUGAAGUUUGUCACCGUUUUGUUUCUUUAAGCAAUCUUUUCCAUCUCAUUUUUUUUUAUUGUAUAAAUUGCAGAUUAAAUGUAAAUAUGCUAGAUUGGUUGUGUUCUUCUAGUCUAUCUAUCUAUUUCUAGCUAUCUUAAGUUGAGUUGAAUUAUCGUUGAGUUUAAUUUGCUAAGUCAAUUGACAAUUAAAAGAUCAUAGGAGUAUUCAUCAACUGCUCUAUGAAACACUUCUUUAAACCAUAGCAAUUUUCCAUUUUUCUGCCAUUUACCACAUAUUGUUACAAAUUAGUGUUAUUCUACUAUAAGAAAUGAAGGCUGACAGUGUUAUCUGUAUAUUUAUGACCCUUGAGGCCCUUAGGUUGGUUUUCUGAGAAAUAGGUGACUUAUGAGACACUAACUGUUCAUUUUGUCUUUUCCCUGAUAUUCUUUCAAGAUAUGGUUGACAAGGAGUUUUGUCAAAAGAACAGCUUUUCAUGGUUCUCUGUCUCUUUUGUUGAUGUAAUUUUGCAGUAGGUUGAUAAAGAGUUUGGAACUGGAGUCUUGAAGAUUAGUCCUGGACAUGAUCACAAUGAUUAUCAUAUUGCUAGAAAGCUUGGCCUACCAAUGCUCAAUGUUAUGAACAAAGAUGGUACUUUGAAUGAGGUUGCUGGGAUAUACUGUGGAUUAGACAGAUUUGAGGCUCGAAAGAAGGUUUGGUCUGAUCUGGAAGAGACUGAUCUGGCAGUAAAAAAGGAACCUCAUGUAUUACGAGUUCCCAGAUCGCAGUGUGGUGGUAAUAGAGCCACUUGUGAGUAAGCAGUGGUUUGUCACUAUGGAGCCAUUGACUGAGAAAGCCCUUCAUGCUGUUGAAAAUGGAGAAUUGACCAUUCUUCCUGAGAGAUUUGAGAAGUGGCUUAUGGCCUUUUAGGACCCUGGGCUGGCCAGACAAGAAUGCUGAGGAUUUCAAGCAAUUUUAUCCCACGACCAUCUUGGAGACUAGGCAUGACAUUUUGUUCUUUUGGGUAGCUCGAAUGGUAAUGAUGGGGAUAGAGUUUACUGGGUCUCCCCCUUCUUCUUUGGAGAUGCUGGCAGAGAAAUAUAUGAUUUCUUCUGAGGUGACUUUGCUGAUUGGUAAGCAGAGUUUGUUGAGACAAUAGGAUUGAUUACCAGGCAAUUUUUAUCUA